rnacentral:rRNA from 1 species
UAAUACGAGGGGUGCUAGCGUUGUCCGGAAUCACUGGGCGUAAAGGGUCCGUAGGCGUUUUGCUAAGUUGAUUGUUAAAUCCAUCGGCUCAACCGAUGAUCUGCAAUCAAAACUGGUAGAAUAGAGUUCGAGAGAGGAAAGUAGAAUUCCCGGUGUAGCGGUGACAUGCGUAGAUAUCAGGAGGAACACCAAUGGCGAAGGCAGCUUUCUGGCUCGAUACUGACGCUGAGGGACGAAAGCGUGGGGAGCGAACAGGAUUAGAUACCCUGGUAGUCCACGCCGUAAACGAUGAGUACUUGAUGUCGGGGGAUUCGACCCCUUCGGUGUCGUAGCUAACGCGAUAAGUACUCCGCCUGGGGACUACGACCGCAAGGUUG